rnacentral:tRNA from 1 species
GGGGUUGAAGCUCAGUGGUAGAGCUCUUACCUCGCAUGCAUGAGGCCUUGGGUUCGAUCCUCAGCACCACA